rnacentral:rRNA from 1 species
AACGAACGCUGGCGGCAGGCCUAACACAUGCAAGUCGAGCGCGCCUUCGGGUGAGCGGCGGCCGGGUGAGUAACGCAUGGGAAUAUGCCCUUCUCUACGGAAUAGUCCUGGGAAACUGGGGGUAAUACCGUAUACGCCCUUUGGGGGAAAGAUUUAUCGGGGAAGGAUUAGCCCGCGUUGGAUUAGGUAGUUGGUGGGGUAAUGGCCUACCAAGCCGACGAUCCAUAGCUGGUUUGAGAGGAUGAUCAGCCACACUGGGACUGAGACACGGCCCAGACUCCUACGGGAGGCAGCAGUGGGGAAUCUUAGACAAUGGGGGCAACCCUGAUCUAGCCAUGCCGCGUGAGUGAUGAAGGCCUUAGGGUUGUAAAGCUCUUUCAGCUGGGAAGAUAAUGACGGUACCAGCAGAAGAAGCCCCGGCUAACUCCGUG